UAAUUACGCUCAUUAUUGCCUAACUUCGAUAUUCUUACAUCGGACGAUCCGAACUUAAAUAUCAUACUCCACAGUCGUAAAUACAACCUCUCCAAAAUACGACUUAAAUCCAACGGCCGGAUUCUACAUUAAUUACCCGCCAAAAAUACCACACUUCGGAAAUUCAUAAACCUAUCCAAAACUCAUCCAAAAAUUCCAUAACUCACUUCAAUAAACUCCCCUUAAUAUUCCAAAUUUAACAACAUUAAAAUCUCCCAACCGGCGGCGGCGCCGCCGGCGGCUCCGUCGGCAGCGGCGGCCGGAGGUCAAUUCCGGCGACCUCCAAAACCUAUGAAAUUUUAACAGCAUCUUCCUCUCAUCAAGCUCUACAACUUUCAUAACUAGCACAAACACCAAUUCCAAGCCUAACUAGGGCUAUCGACUAAAAACAUCAAAAACACCAUAAAACUUCCACCUCAAAUUUCUCCUUACCUAGCUCAAGAGGGAGUGAGUCCUUUUAGGGCAAGGUUGCUGGGUUGGAGGGCUACAAAACCAUACCAAGCUUGCCCGGAUUGGUGGCCGGAGGAGGAAGUUCCGGCGAAGUGAAGGUUUGGACAGUCGGACCUUACGGGUGGCACCGCUCCUUCACGGCGGCGCUAGGGCUCCUCUCACCGGUCUAGAAAUGUUGCUGGGUGGGAGACCGACCGAACGGGACCGGUCCGGUGGCGAACGGAGGUCGGACGGCGGCGGGAGGACGGCCGGAAUACCGGUGGGUGUAGAGAGAAGAAAAUCGGGUGGGAGGAGAAGAAAAAUCGGGAGGGAGGGAGAGAGAAAAGAAAAAGGGUUUGGGCCUCACACCCCAAACCGGUCCACACCAUUUAUAACCCAAACUUCCAAAAUAAAAACACCCCGAAAAAAUAAUACCCGAAUAAAAAUUACCUUUUUCUAGCUAAAAUUUACUAUUUUUACCGUCGUUGUAUUUUCCUCAUACGAAUAAUCCUCCGCACAUAAUCGUCCCCGAAACCCCUCUAGGGACCAAUUAAACUAUUUACUCAAUCAUCGAGACGGUAAAAUUCUUAUUAUAAUCACGCUAGUAAAUAAGGUAAAAAUAUAAGGGUCGGGAUGUGACAAUUGGUUUAGUUCUUCCUGCAUAGCACUUAUCCAACUUGAGUCAGUCAUUGCUUCUUUGACAUUUUUAGGUUCAAUUAAGGACACAAAACCAACACUACCCCAAAAAAACAUCAGACCACAGCAAAAAAACGUCGUCUAAUUGUUCAAAUUACCGUUGUCUUUUUGCGUGCCGUCUGAUGUAUUGUAGAAACGUCAUCUGACUAGUGUCGACAGCCAUGGGAUGCCAACAUAUGUCAACAGCGUAUCGGCAGAUUUUAUGUCUUGUGACAUAAACUCACGUCACGCUUUUUAUGAGUAACAGUUGUGUAAUUAUUUGUCAUACCACGGUUGUUAUUAAAACUGUAUUCUAAUAUGGACUCACAAGUCGUUUUUAAGCUUAUGGCCUUUCCAAACUAUUGCCUGCAUAUGACUGAAAAACGACUUCUGACUAUAUCAUUGUGAAUCAAAAAUUGCUAAAUUUAAGUCUAUUCCAACCACGUUUUUUAUUUUUCCAUUUGUCAUUUGAUUCAGUGCAAUUAAUACAAGAAAUGCAUAUAACUCAAAAAUGACCAUACGAACAGUACGUAAAUGGAUUUGGAUUAGAUAAUAUUGUACUUUCAAAAGAAGGAUCACCUAGGAAACUCUAAAGAUUACCAUUCAAGAAACUUCAACACCAAAAUACAUCUUGCAAUGUACCUAUAACAUUCAAACGACCCAAAACAUAUUUCCAGCUUAGCUAUAUAUAUUGCACUUCAGAGCUUCAGCAUAUCCUUGAGUAGCUUAAUCAAUCAUGUUCUUGAGCACAUAACCAGCUAACUCCUCACACACCUCAUCAAUCUUGACUUGCUCAUAAGGAUAUGGUUUCCCAGUCCUAGAAGCCCACUGUAACAGUUUAAAACAACAUGUCACUUUAGAACUUGAUUGACAUUAAACUUGCAAACUUGCAAACAAUGGAGUUGAAAAUAGAAGAUUUUAGUUACCUUAUCUACAAAUGCCAGCUCUGUAUUUAAGACAAUAUCCCUCAUGUAUCUCAUCACAUAAUUGCCGCAUGAUUUGGUAUCGUUUUGUUUUGGGAUUCCCUAAAGUAGACACACAUACUCACCAUCAGUCCACAACGUAGUUAUAUUUCCAUAAGAAUAAUUAUCAAAAGCCAAAUAAAUAGAAAACAUACUCCCAUGUUCUUCCAAUUAAUCUUUCUACGUCAUUUCUUGUUGCGGUCAGAGUUAAAAUUUGAAAUGGCACUAGAAGUAUGUAUAAACACACCAAACAUUAGACACCACAACUAACAUAUAUAUACAAAGUCAGCCUUGAUUUGAGCCUCAAUAUCCUAAAUAAACAUAACAAUAUCAGCAAACUUCCAGUGAGCAACUUACUUGUUCACAAUUUCUUUCCAUUGUCCUGAAACAACACGUCUUUUCAAUGGAUCCAUAUGAUAGACGAUCUCGUUGUCCGAAUCAACCACAGUUAACACCCAAUGAGAACUACAUAUUCAUAUACAAUAUUUUAAAGAAAUAUCCAUACACAGGUCUGGUGUAAUCAUACGAAUGACACAAGGUUUAAUCAUAAACAUUUAACUAACUUACCCUGGAUUGUAAGGCAGCAAAAAUAUCUGAUUUGGAGAAGCAGUUGUGAUCCGAUCUGUUAAGCUUUUGGUCCUCUCUUCUGCACUCCCACACCCCUUCUCAUCAAUCAUUGAUGGGUCAACAAAAACAACCAUGUCUAGCAUUAAGUUUGCUUUUAAUACAUCACGCAAGUACCUAAAGUACAGAGAUCACACACAAAUAACAUACAUUUUAAAUCAACAAAAAUGGUUCUCCAAAGCCUGAUAAAUUUUAAAUCACACACAAAUACUUUUCAGCUCUUACCGUCACUAGUUACAUGUGCCAAAACUAUCAACUGAUAGAAGCAGAGAUGUGGUUUAACUGGGAAAUAAUAUGUACAGUGUAUCUACUUUUGACAGCACACCUUGUUAAAAUGCUGACCUUCCAGAAUAAACUUAAAUCUGAAUGCUGCUUGUUUGAAGCUCUGAAACUACUGAUUGUCGUUAAAAUGCAAAGGUUUUCAGUCAUCAACCGGUGACCCAUAAGUGCGAGUGAUACGUAUCUAUAUCAACAUCAAUAUAGUUUGAGAAUAACUUGAUUGUUUUCAUGAAACAUAAAUGGAAGAAUUUAGAGAGGCAAGCUUUUUUAUUGUUCUUUCUGAGUAGGUGUUAAUAGUCAUUACAUUUUGCUUCUCAAGAGUAAGAUCUUUGUUUAUCAUCCUUAAAAUGUUCAUUUAUAUUAGUUUAGUGUCUCCAGAUAUCAGCCAAUGCCAAAACAAGGGCAAGCAUGAAGAGAAAUCAAAAGCAUGAAAACUUGUACACGUUAUCUGUGCAAAAGCAUAAAUUGCUCACAAUAUUCUUGCAUAAUCAGUUCCUAGCAUUUGGAUGACAACAUCCACCGGAAAUGUUCCCCAAAGCCUGCAUAAAACCAGAGAUAAGUUGAAAAUGAGAAAACUUGGCAAAACACUAAAAAGCAAAAUCAAGAGAUUAACAUAAGCUGUUACAGUUGAUACUUGAUCAAGGCUAGAUACUUGGAUUGACCACAAAAAUUUAGUUUGAAGCAACAAAUUAUCAAACUUAUAAUCACUUAAGGUUAUGCAACCAAGACAAUAUCAAAAUUUGAAACUUCAAAAGCUUCAGAAGGUGCAUGUUCACUUACAUCCAUAAAGCUAUUCCUAGUCAUUUCUAGUCCAAACAAAAACAGAGUGAAUGAUUUCUUCUAUGUCAUCUCAAUAGACGCAAUGUAACACAUAAACUAGUUUUCAGAUAAUAUAACUACACUAAAAGGGGAGUGAGGAUAGAUAAGACAACUGCACUAGAGCUUAAUCUUAACUAAUUGGGACAAAGCUUAAUCUCAACUAAUUGGGACAGCUACAUGACUCCUUAUUCACCCAAAGGAUUGCUGGUUACUGAGUAACUACCCAUACAUAGCUAAAAAGCCCUAUCCUUAUCCAUAACAAAUUUCUGUAGUCCUAAAUAUAUGAAGUAUGAAAUGAAGUUAUAGACAAAAUGAUCAAGUUUAGGGAACAUCAGAAGCGCAGGAAGAGUCAAUACACUGGGCCAAGUAAAACCAUCAUGCAUCUCAAGCCAAGAUAUCUUGAUGUAGCCCCCGUAAAACCCUGUUCAGAACCAUGAGAAACCCAGAAAUCAGAAGACGUAGGGGAUAUACAUAGCAAUAUUACGAAUCAUCAGCAGAAUGUAAUUACUUGUUUUACAGCUAGCAAGACCACUCUGGAUUCUAGAUUAAUAGCUGUGUCCACCCUGAUAUCAAAAUAUGGAAUUCCAUGUUAGGUAGAAAUGGGAAGCUAGAUAGUUGAUAAGAAAUUCACUACUCGCCAACACCCUAAAGAGGAAAAUCCAUAUAACAACAAUAGCAUAAGCUUAAGCUAGAAGACGAUGAAAUAACCAUGGACAUGGGAGAUGAAUUCUCUGUUAAUCUCAUAAAUGAUCAUUGCGUAACUUUUGGCUAGCACAUCCCAAAUUUCACUUCAAUACUUAAAGGGGAGUUCUUUAUUAAUAUCUGAUUCCCUUAAAAUAAUGUGAAAUAAGUAAUAACCAACAAAAACAAGAUCCAAUGUUGAGAAAUAUGCAUAACACAUGCCUUGAGUAGUCACGCAACAGAUGAAGGAAAAUCUCUGCUUCAAGGUCUUCAGUUGAUAAUUUGCUCGAGCAAGUAAUAUUCAACUCUUUUCUAACUGCAAGCAAGACAUUCCCAUAUGAUGGCCUCCAACCCCGACCAAAAAUCCCACACAAACCAAUUAAAUAAUCAACAUGAAAACUCCAUCAACAACUAUGUGACACUAGCAGUUACGUUAAUUAAAAAAAAAAAAAACCGAAUAUGAUGAAAUAUAUUUAUCUCUACUUUCUAUAACCAUGACCCCUCCUAUACUCAACACACUAGCAAGUUAGCCCAAGAAAUUCAAGUAACAUUGACUCCAAACAAGUUAACAAUGAGGUGUACUUCAACAAUGCCUGAAUGCACACUGAUCCGGCCUUAUAUAAGUUGAGGAAAAACCUUAUUGUGGACCGAGCAUCAGCUGCGAGGAACAAGAAUCGUGACUCUAAUGCUGAUAAAAACUGAUCUCGCUCCUCAAGAUCCUCCUAAUGCAUGCAUCCAAGACCUAUCAUCUAUCUAAGCACACAAAACAACAACAAAGAGAAUAUAUAUCAUAAUGCUUUUCAUCAACACAUGCAAACAACAAUACAUCAACAAAAGCAAAGCAUUAACCCAAAACCCAGAAAAGAACGAAUAAAACCAGAAAACCAAUAAACCAAUAACAUAGAACCCGGAAACUGUCACAUCCUGACCCUUAAAUUUUUAUCUUAUUUACUCGAUUGGUAUUGAUAAGAAUUUUACCGUUUCCGUCAAUGAGUUAUGGUUUAAUUGGUCCCUAGAGGGGUUUUGAGGAACGAUAUUUUCAGAGAAUUAUUCGUAGAAGAAAAAUUUGACGACGGUAAAAAUGGUAAAUUUUAGCUAGUAAAAGGUAAUUUUUAUUAGGGUGUUAUUUUUAGGAGUGUUUUAUUUUGGAGUAAAUGUGGGUAUAUAGGUUUUGGACCGGUUGGGUGAGGCCCAAACCCAUUUCUCCUCUCUCUCUCUUCUCCUCUCCCUCCCGACUUCUCUCCCGAGCUCUCCCGACCCAGAAACUUUCCGGGCGCCGUCCGGCUGAUAUAAGAGGCGUGCUUGGUGUCGAAUUGAAGCUUGGAGCAUCCUCUACAAGUUUGGAUAGGUGGCAGCUCGUGUCGCGCCGCCGUGAAGGAGAACGAUCGCCGAGAAGUCUCGGCUGUGUGCGGGGGCGUUCUCGCCGAAACUUCUUUUUCCGGCCAACAAAAUCGGAGCUGCCAGUCUCGUCUUGAAGCUCUCCCUUCCAGCAGCAAACCCCUAAAAGGAUUCAUCCUAACUCGAGCUAAGUAAGGAGAAUUGAAGGUUUAAAGUUCUAGGGUUCUUCUAGGAUGUUUUUGCUCGAUUGACCUAGUUAGGCUUGGAAUUGGUGUUUGUGCUAGUUAGAAAUGUUGUAGAGGGAGUUGAGAGGAAGAUGCUGUUAAAAUUUGGUUGGCAUUGGAGGUCGCCGGAAUCGGCCUCCGGCCCCCGCUGCCGGAGGGGCUGGCGCCGGCGCCAGCGCCGGUUGAGAGAUUUUAAUGUUUUUAAAUUUGGAAUAUUAAGGGGAGUUUAUUGAAGUGAAUUAUGGAAUUUUUGGAUGAGUUUUGGAUAGGGUUAUGAAUUUCCGAAGUGUGGUAUUUUUGGCGGUUGAUUAAUAUAGAAUCCGGCCGAAGGAUUUAAGCCAUUAAUCUAUGGAAGGUUGAAUUAUGGCUGCGGUAUGUUCGGUGAAGUUUGAGCCAUUUUGAGUUAAGAAUGGCGAAGUUGGGCAAUGAUGAGUGUGUGGGAGGUCACGUUUAAUUUUGCCCAUUUUGUUUAAUUAUUGGAUUUUUAAAAUGGGAAAUUAAUUAUACAUUUGGAAACAAGACGUGAGGAGGCUCAAGCAGAAGAGACCUCGGAUCGACGUCAGGCUUAGGCCUAAAGUUGUGAGUGGACCGUUGUUUUAUUUGAAAAACAUGCGAUGAAUUAUUUUGUUGAUCAUUUAUUUCUUUUGCUGAGAUUUAUUUCUUUCUUGGAUAUUUGACAAUUUUCCUCCUUUGGAGAGUUCUCGGAAAUGAGAUUUUCGGUGGAUAUGUUUAUUAGAUGUUUAUGAGGAUAGUAUGUAUAUAUAAAUGCUAGCUAGCCAUACGUGCUUGAUCCGCCAUAAUGAGGUAAAAUACCAUUAUGGUGUGACGUGAAUGUUAGACACAAGCGUAGUAGCCCUAUAUGAAAACUAUUUUCUUUUCUGGUUCAUAUAGGUUGGAGUCCACACAUAUAUACACUCGUGCUUUUCCGCCAUAAUGAGGAAAAAUUCCAUUAUGGUGUGACGUGAGCGUUAGACGCAAGCGUAGUAGCUUUGUAUGAAUUUCUAUUUUGCUUAUUCUUUCAUAGAAUUCGUACAAGGAGUAUGACGAGUAUAAAUACAUACACAUAUAUAUAUAUAUAUAUUUUAUAUAUAAUUUAGCCUGAGAGGGUUUAUCUUUGUUAAGUUUGGAGACUAGCUAGAGCUAGUCACGAAAUUGCUAAUCGUUGAGUUGAGAGCUUUUGAGCUGCCGCAUGCAGUAUAUUUUUUAUGAAAUUCAAAUUGGGAAUGCAUAAAUAUUUAUUAAUGUAUUUUUGUCCACUCACUCGAACGUAUUUCAAAUGUUUUCCCCUGGGCCUUUCGUUUUAAAAUGUCUAGGUGGCAAGUUUGCAUAGUUGAGGUCGGGCGUACAUGGAAAAGAGGCAUAGUCAAUAGUAUAGCUUCCGCUCAUUUCUAAUUUCUAAAUUUCUAAUUCUUUUCCUCUCAGUUAGAAUUGCUCUGAACCUAUAAAUGGUUGGUUAUGAGAUUUGUUUAAAGUUAGUAUUUAAUUUGGGUGGUGUUGUGAUUCGGGGAGCACGAAGGCUCCACGAGUUUAUGGUUGGAUUUAAAUUUUCAGAAGUGUUUGCAGGUUUUUAUUAGGAAGGGUUGUCCAUUUUCAAGGGAGGUUAUGCCGAAUUUUCGGUAAACUUUCCUUGGAGGUGGUCCCCGCAGGAUUUACUUCGGGUUUCAAGGUGAAAUUCGGGGUGGGUCCUGACAGAAGCAGCAGAUCAAAUACCCAAAACCCAAAUCUCAAAAACCCGCAAUUACCUUGUGAGAAACAAUCUUCAGAAAAUCAAAAUCGAAAUCGUAUUGUAGUCCAAGUCACCUGCAUCAAAAUCAAAACAUUCAAAGAGAGGUUAGGGCUUAUGAGAGAUGAAAUUGAAAUCAAAAUCGAUUUAUGAGACGAAUAUAAAGAGAGGCUAUCUGAGAUGAAUCUAAACAGAGGCUAGGGGUCGCCAAGCUUCUUCGUUGUCUCUGACGGUAGACAGACGAGGAUGCAAGUGUUUUGGAUUAAGAGAGCUGUUGAGAGGUGUUUGGGUUUUUGUGAGAUAGACGAUCGAGGUAGACGAGGAUGCGAAUGUUUUGGGUUUUUGCUCAAGAGCUGUCGAGAGUUGUCGAGCUGUUUGUGUUUGGUUUUUGGGUUUUGUGAGUGUGUGUGUAUAGGGUUUCUAGUUUUAAUCUUCUUUUUUUUUUUGUCUAAGUGUUGGCAUAUGGGGGGAGAAUUUAAUUUUAGGCUGAAAAUAUGUGUGGGGGGGGGGGGAGAAGGUGGCAGAUUGAAGGCGCCAAUCAAUUGGCAUUCAUUUCGACAACAAAUCACACAACGUAAAUGUCAGGACCCACCCCGGAUUUCACCCUAAAAUCCGGAAUAAACUCUACGGGGAUCACCUCCAAAGGAGAUGCUAUUGGAAAUUCGGCAUAACCUCUCUUGAAAAUAGACAACCCUUCCUAAAAACACCUGCAAACACACUUCUAAAAUCAUAAACCAACCUUGUACUCCUGGAGUCUUCCUGCUCCUCAAGUUCAACACAUCUCCCACAAUAUCAAAUAUUAAUCUAAAAGAAUCCCACAACCAACAUCAAGUUCAAUCAAUAAUUUGCUAGCUGGAUUAUCAGAGCAUAUCUAAAAAAAUGAAGGAACAACAAUGCCUAAAGAAGAAGCGGAAGCAGUCUCUGACUAUGCCUCGACUCCAUGUACGCUCGACCUCAAAUAAACUUAGCUUGCAAACUGGGCAUUUGAAACCGAAAGGCCCAGGGGAAAGCAAUUUAAAACAUUAGAGUGAGUGGACAAAAAUAAAUUAAAUAAUUUAACAAAACGUAAUUUAAAUACUUUCUCACGUUUAAACUUUUAAAACCUCGAUGCACACAACUUUGAUAAACCUUUCUUUAAAUCCAUAAUCUCAUAAAAAUGGACAACCCAGCCCCGCUGGUUGAUCAAAUACAAAAAUCUCGUCAAAAGAGAUAAACCAGCCCCGCUGGUUAAUCAAUUACAUAAAUGAGAAAAAUAAGACAAGGGGAAGAGAUAUCACCAUGUAAGAGGAGCUUCCAAGGCUCGGGGCUAAGCGCUCGACUCACCUAUAGUGAGGACCGCUACUAAAGCUAGCUAGUAAUGAAUAAUAGCGACCCUAUAGUAUGGUGACUAAAAAUAUUCGAAAACACUUGAAAAUUAUCAUAAAGAAAUUAAAAUAAACUCAAUGACGUGUCUCACAUGUCAAAAUAUUCUCAAAUCCAUAAUUAUAAGCGAGAUUUAAUUAUCAAAUAUAAAUUGUAAAUAAUUUCAUAAUCCGAAAAUACUCCCUAAAAAUAUUCUCAAUGUCAAUAUCGAUACUCCACAAGUAAAUGAGAAAGUUAUAAAUAGAGAACUACCGAAAAUCCCAUUUUCGGUAAUCUUUUAUAAAUCUCAGUCAUCAAAAUAAAACCGAUAAUAAUUAAAUCCGGAGUCAUAAAGAAUAUCAAAACUCAAAUACUAAUUUUAAAAUCCAACUUCAAAUCCAUAAAUCAUGACCAACACUUAAUCAAUGCUUCAAACUCAAAUAAAUUCAAGACCAUAUCAUAAACCGAAAUUAUAAUAUAAGCUCGGUAAAUAGAACAAUAAUUUCCAAAAUAAAUCAUGCAUGCAUAUUCCUUUAAAAACAAAGUGUCCACUCACAGUAUUAGGCUUAAGGUUUCCAUUGCUCAGGACACUCCUCGAGUGCCGCCUCCAAAUAUCUAAGUCCUUGAGUCAAUCCCACGCCUAACCAUAAGUUGUAGAACAAAUCGGUCAGACCGAACUUUAAAAUAACCAUUGCCUCGUCUUCUUUCCUAGUUUGACUAGGGUUUCCUAGGUUGACCAGGAUUGACCAACUAACGAUGCUCAACAUUUUCCAAUUCAACAUUUGACUUAACAAUUCGAUCCAAUUUUUACUAUACGUCCCACUAACCGUUAGACACUUAGGCAUCGCUUAAUAAUUCGUUUUGGUGGACUUCGAUUUUUAUUAAUCAAACUAAUGUAAUUUCGUUAACUCAAAACAUACGAACCAUAUUAAUCUGAAAAACCACCAAAUUACUAAGGGAACCCAAAAAGGGUUUCCAUAAAUGGAAGGUUUCCAAAAACAGAAAGUUUCCCAAAAUAGAAACUUUUUAACUUGAUAAUUUUUCUGAUUACAACCCAAUCUUUCCUAUUUCCGAAAUAACAUACAACGAAAAGGAAACAUCGAUCACUACCUCCAUCGCUAUUGCCAGAUCCGCCCCUUGCCAGAAUAUUCUGCCAGAUUCCGGCCUCUGCCGAAAUUUCGCCAUGACCUCCCUAUAUUCUUCAAUACACCAAGUUCUAGACAUGCAAACAACCAAAAACCCAAGAUUAAUCACCAAUCAACCAUACCACAAAACACAGCAGCAUUUCAAUCAUCAAACCAAGCAGAAACCUAGUGAUUCCUCACCUUGCUAAAAACCUCACAAAUUUAGGCAUAAGCCUGACGAUAUCCGCAACGCCAUACGUGUGAGGUCUCCAUGAAUCCUAACAUCAUAAGCAUAAUUAGAACCACAUUCCGAUUUUAGAAAAAUAAAUGCUUUAAUAUAACACCCCGAAAAUCUUCCGUCUAACCCACUACCGUAGCUAGGGUUAAGCUUAUCGGAUUCAUACCAAACUCCAACCACAACCUCACUUCAUCGAUUCUAGCACUUUUGGACCAUAUCCAAGUAAAUCAAAUGUAAUACCCCGGAAUUUUGAUAUUAGUUUCUAAUAUUAUUUGGGAAUUUUCGAGUUAGAAGUUAGUGUGUUUUGAGGUUCAAAGGAAGAUCGGAGGUGUUCGAGAGAUUUUCUUUGUUGAAAAUGCUUUAUUUUGAAGGGUCAAGAGUUGACUUUUUUUUCGUAAGUUAUUUUCGAAAACUUCCUUCAUGAAAGUUGUAGAGUUUGUCGAUACGAGUUCGUAGCACGCAGCCGCGUGGAGCGGAUGUCAUAUGAGAAAGUUAUGGUCAGAGAAAGUUAGUUUCCGGUUUUGGAAGGUGUAUAAAUAGAAAAAUGUGUGGGUUAUUUCAGAAACCCUAAAAUUGCAGAAAAACCCCUGCAGUUCUCUAUCUCUCACCCGUCUCCAUUUUCACCCUCAAAUUUCUUUCGGCCAUAACUCGGCCAUCCGGCGACGGAUUUGGGCGUGCUUGGUAUCAUUAGAAAGCUCUCAUUCCCCUCUUUCUAUUCAUACCAGCCUCAUACCCUAUGGAGCACUGUGCACGGCGCAGCAAGGCCCGCAAGUUACUGCUGCCACCGGCGGUGAAGCUCCAACUGAUUCCGGCGACAUCGAGGUUUGAGGCUACCCAUUUCUGGAAGUUCUUGUCCUUCUGAGCAUGAUGAUACCAGCCUUGAAGCCCAAUUCGAAGAGUGGAGCUUUUGAGUUUGAAGUGCUCCUUGUUUCUUUUCGGCGACGUUUAUGGCCUCUUUCCGGCCGAAUUGGCUUUGGCCACAGGUAUGAAAAGUGUUCUAUUUGUUGUGACCUACAAGUUUGAUGUUGGGAGUUUGCUCAGAUUUUGAAGUUGAUGGGGUGGCGCGUGGGGCCCACUCGCCGCCAUUUGUGGCAGCGCGUGGCAGCGCGUCCGGCAGUUUCCUAGCUCUAGGUUUUAGUGUUAGCUAGCUCUUAUUAUUGUGAGCUUGUUGAGUUGUGAAAAUUCUAGGUUGUGAGCAAAGAUUGCAUGUUAGGACAUUAAGUUUAAUCUUAGGCUUGUGUGAGGGUUGAGUCUAGGUUUAGAGGAUUAAAGGCAGCUUUAUUGAGUCGUUAGGUAUGACGACCUUGGAAAGUUGUCCUCUCUUGGGCUAAGGGUUAGUUAAGGGUGUUUUGUUAUCCUAAAGUACUUGGUUACUAAGGUUAUCAAUUGUAUUAAUUAGGUAGUUUGUGGAAUUGAUUUGAGCUUGGCUCUUGAGUUUAUUUUGAAGACGUAGCGGGAAUAUUUAAGUGAGUAAAUCUCACUAAAGUUCAUAUUUAGACCAAUUAUUUAUGGUUAUGAUAUGAUAGUGAUGAUGAUGAUGAUGAUGAUAAUUAUUAUGAUGAUUGAUUUUUGAUAAUGAUUUUGAUGAUGAGGAUUAUGAUGAUGAUAAUUAUUAUGAUGAUUGAUUUUUGAUAAUGAUUUUGUUGAUGAGGAUGAUGAUGAUGAUAAUGAUUAUGAUUAUGAUAAUUAUUAUGAUGAUUAAUUUUUGAUAAUGAUUUUGAUGAUGAUUAUAAUUUAAAAAUUAUGUUUUUGUUUGUUUAAAAUAUAUGAGCUUGAUCGCCAACGGCUCAUAGGUAAGAUAAAACAAGUUUUAUUUUUAUUAUAUGAUUAUUUUUAAGGUUCAUGUGAUCAUAAUGUUUAUGGUUAUUGAUAGAUGAUUCUUGUGGGGAUAUCUAGGUUUAUUCAUAUAAAUAUAUCUAUGUGGAAGGAUAUAAUUUUUUAUGAUGUGCUCAUUGUGUUGAUUGAGGAUAAUUUUAUUAUAUUGUGAUUUGUGGUUUAGAUAGUCAAACCGGGUUUCAAGCCUUUAAUCGGGUGAUUGGUUACGGUUAUGAUGAUUCUACCCUUAUGUGACAUGUUGUGUAGAUACACUACCAGGACAAGCACUUUAGCCGACGAAAAUUCGUCGGCUAAGAUUUCGUCGGGAAAAGAUCGUCUGUGAUGACUUUAGCUGACGAAAAAAAAAAUUUCGUCGGCUAUAGUCCUGCAGUUUAGCCGACGAAAUACAUGUCGUCGGUUUUUUUCCCAGACUUUAGCCGACGAAACAAUUAUGAUAUUCGUCGGCUAAAGUCUGUAAUAAAAAUUUUUUUCGCAGACUAUAGCCGACGAAAUAUAGUAUGUUUCGUCGGCUAAACCUUAUAAAAAAAUUUUAAAAAAUAACUAUAGCCGACGAAAUAUAGUCUGUUUCGUCGGCUAAACCUUAUAAAAAAAUUUUUAAAAAUAACUAUAGCCGACGAAAUAUAGUCUGUUUUGUCGGAUAAACCUUAUAAAAAAAAUUUAAAAAUACUAUAGCUGACGAAUAAACCUUUAAAUAUCGUCGGCUAAACCUUUAAGUAUCGUCGGCUAAAGUUGCUGGUUUUUGAAAAAAAAAACUGCAGAAACUUUCGGCCACCUCCAAUCACCACCAAAAUUUGACAGAAUCUUGCUCUCAACAUUUCGAACAACUUUCUAGAAGAAGUCGAAGCCCAAUUCUAAGCCUAAACAGGUCAAUCGAAUCAAAAUAUAAAAAUCCCCAAUUUUAAACCCUAAAAACUUCAAAUCUUCGAUUCUCCACACACACACCGAAUCGAGCUACCAAAUUCUAGGGGAAUGUAGUACUAAUCAAACUCAACUUAUCUAUAUAUAGAACUCACCAAAUGGUGACCUGAGGAAGGAGAAAUUCGAUCGACACCGAAUCCGAACCGGCGGAGUUUUGGAGCUCGAUUUAUCUCUCACGGCGGCGCCACUCGAUGCACCACCUGUCCAACAAUGAAGUAGAGACGACGGCGAAGCUUUUAGGACAAGUGUGGCGGUCUCCGGUGGCUUGACGGCGGAGCUAGGCCAAGAAAAAAAUCUGGCAGGAGAAAUAGACUUCUUACCAUCCACCUUCGGUAAAACUCCUAUAUAAAAAACUUUAGCCGACGAAAUUCUUUAUUUUCGUCGGCUAAACUCUUUUGAAACUUUUGAAAAUUUUGAAUAUAUAAAGAACUUUAGCCGACGAAAUUCUUUAUUUUCGUCGGCUAAACUUUUUUGAAACUUUUGAAAAUUUUGGUUGACCGCAAAAAAAUUUUGAAAAUUUUUCUACUUUAGCCGACGACUUUUCAUAUAUUUUCGUCGGCUAAAGUCCUUUGAAAAUUUUCCUCCAAAUUUGGUUUACCGCCCAAAAAUUUUUGACCUUAGCCGACGACUUUUUUAAUAUCUCGUCGGCUAAAGUCUAUAAAUUCACGAAAACGCUCAUAUCUCCCUCUAUAUUACGUAGUUUGGUCAAACCUUACACACGAAAAACUUUCACGUAGAUGAGACGCAACCGCCUAUAUAAAAAUUUUGAGACAUUUGCCUUCCGACGAUAGGGCUCCCCGUAGGGAAUAAUAACGGUAAAUAGGGUUGAUCGCUACUAUCGGCACCGAGACUUUACCUGAUUUACGUGAUUUUUGAACCAUAGCCGUAUUUCACCAUUCUGAACACAUCUUAUUUCACGAGAUUUUUGAUAAUUUUGCUUCCUAUAUAGAGUUGGGUCACAAAGUUGUAUAACCAACUAAACAAGUUAUACAACAUUAGUAGACACGUUGUGAUUCCGAUGACUAAACUUCACAAACCAAAAUUCGACCGUCAGAUAUGAUCAUUAUGACGAAAGAUGUCUCUGGUAAAAAAUUUAACUGGAUCCGACAACGUUAAGGACUCGAUCGAAAUGGUUAACCCUAAUCCAUCGUCACUUAUCACACGAAAACGCUCAUAUCUCCCUCUAUAUUACGUGGUUUGGUCAAAACCUUUCCAACACAAAAAACUCUCAUGUAGAUGAGGUNNNNNNNNNNNNNNNNNNNNGACUUUAGCUGAUGAAAAAAUAAUUCGUCGGUCUGGUUUUUUAUUUUCGUCGGCUAAAGUCUUUCUUCUGGUAGUGAUAGUCAAACCGGGUUCCGAGCCUUUAAUCGGGUGAUUGGUAACGGUUAUGAUGAUUCUACCCUUAUGUGACAUGUUGUGUAGAUAGUCAAACCGGGUUCCGAGCUUUUAAUCGGGUGAUUGGUUACGGUUAUGAUGAUUCUACCCUUAUGUGAAAUGUUGUUUAGAUAGUCAAACCGGAUUCCAAGCCUUUAAUCGGGUGAUUGGUAACGGUUAUGAUGAUUCUACUUUUAUGUGAAAUGUUGUGUAGAUAGUCAAACCGGGUUCCAAGCCCUUAAUCGGGUAAUUGGUUACGGUUAUGAUGCAAUUAUUAUUUUGUGAUUUGAUAUUGGACAGUCAAACUGGGUUCCAAGCCUUUGGCCGGGUGAUUGGUUACGGUUAGGAAUAGAGCUUUAGUCCGUCUGUCGGUGUAGGUCAUGGGAGGUACCUUAAGGUAUCUGGGACCCAUGGGUACAUAAAUUGUUGUUAUAGGUCAUGAGAGGUAUUUAUUAAUAUAUGAGACUCAUGGGUACAUGUGUUUGUUGUAGGUCAUGGGAGAUACCUUAUUGGUAUCUAGGACUCAUGGGUACAUGUAUAUUGUAAAAGUAUUGGUUAUGUGGUUUUAUCCUAUAUGUGAAAACACAGUAGUAUUGACUUGAAAUUCUAAGAAGAUUCUAAACAAAAACAGCACUAUAACAUGAUUAAAUUAAAUUGAGAACAUCCAUUAAAUGACUUACUUGUAGAAACUUGAUGGGAUUAAUUGUCAAUCUGCAAUAUCAUUGAUUUGCUGCUCAAUGAGCUGCCCCUCUGUAAAUCAAUGCUGAUUGGAGCUCGAGUAGUUUCAUUCUCACUAGUUGGCUGGAGGAAGAAACCAUAAAAUAAAAUUAAAAACCUCUAUAAUUUGGACAUUGAAAUACAUUGGUAAAUUGUACUUACCUAAAAAGGAGUAUGAUUAAGCUUUCAAAACAGCUGAUUUACCAGCACCAUGUAAACCAAAAACAAAAUAGACUAUCAUCAUCUCUAGAAAUUUAGGGGAGUUUCUCAAGUCUAUUAAUAACAUACUAAGUAAAGAUAUACGAGUACACCAACAAUGCACAUAAAAAUGCAGCUGAGCAAAAAGGCACUAGCAUGCACACACAUUAUAAGCACGAAAUGAGAUCCUAUAUACAGUUAAAAGAGGGACACAUUAUCUCCUACUUUUUCUACAAGAAUCUUAACAUGGUUCCUCACAAGUCAUUAUAUAUACCUCAAUAUGUGUGUAUAUAUAUAUAUGUAGAAACUAAAAACAGAGAGUACAAGAAAACAUACAAAGCAAAAAAUUUUCAAUAAACAAAUCAAUUUGCAAUUUUGCAUUACAUUACAAUACUCUCAUUUUAAUAUUCAAACAACAAACUGAGAAAGCAGGAAAGAGUUUUGUACAUCCACAGGCGAAAAUAGAGAGAAAAAAUUGAAAAGUGACUGUGUUAGGUUUUACCUUGAUUGGAGACAACCAUGAAACCAGAAAUGGAAUAUGCAUUAAGACAAGAAACUAAGAGACUGCUAAAUAAAGGUAGAGAAACAAAGAAAAUGAAAUGGCUAAAGGGGGAUUGGCAGAAAGUGAUGGAAGAGAGACAUAAUCUUUGUUGACAUUCAUUGGUUACAGACGCCAAGCAAUUCUCUUCCUUUGCCUCAGAGCUUCAUUUGCUGUUCCUCCAACAUUUAUAUAUAGAAGCUAGAGAGAGAUAUUUUAGAGAGAUAGAUAGAGAGAUAUAGUAUGUUAGAGUUGGAUAGACACAUGUUAUUUGACCACAAUAGAAACUACAUCAUCAAAUUUUCAUGGUGAAGGUUAUGCACUUAUGCCUUUUGAAAUUAUUUUUAUCAGAUUGAACUGACACGACCCACCCUGAAUUUCACCCUGAAACCCGGAGUAAGUCGUGCGGGGACCAUCUCCAAGGAAAAUUUACUGAAAAGAUUAAGAAAAUCUCCCUUGCAGAUGGACAACCCUAACUCGAAAAUUCCAAAUUACACUCUUAAAUCAACACUUCCAAACAUCACAUAAUUAUCCUUCAGAAAUUCUACACAUAAUAUACAAUAAUCCCAAAGUAUUCAGAGCUACUAAACACAAGCGGAAGCAAGAAAACACGAGUAGGUUGAACAGGUAACCUACUGACGAAAACUGGCAGAAAUGCGGGUGACUAUGCCUCGCCUCCUACUAGAUCCAACCCGAACUCUGNNNNNNNNNNNNNNNNNNNNGCCGCAAGCGAUAAAACUUUUAAUUCUCAUAAAAUAAUCGAGCCUCUCAGACUCUAUAAUAUAUGUAUGUAUUUACACUCGUCCAUACUACCCAUAUAAAUUCAUGGGUCUAUAUAGGGCUACUACGCUCGCGUCCAACGCUCACGUCACGCCUUAAUGCGGUGCUUCAAUACGCCAUCAAGGUGGACAGACGGGUGUAUAAAUAUGUGUCCAUACCCCCUAUAUGAAUUAAACACUCAAAUAGGGCUACUACGCUUACGUCCAACGCUCACGUCACACCAUAAUGCGGCUAUAUGCUACGCCAUUAAGGUGGACAGACACAUAUGGCUAGCUACCAUUUAUAUACAUACUCUCUCAUAAAUACAUAUUUAUAUCCACCGAAAAUCCCAUUUUCGGUAACUCUCCAAGAGAAAUAAAAAUCAUCAAAUUUAAAAUGACGUUAAAAUAUUCCGCCACAUUAAUUGUUCAACCAUGAACUAUAUCAUGCAUUUAUUUAAAAUAAACGUCCACUCACAAAUUUGGCCUAAGCCUGAUGUCGAUCUGGGGCCUCGUCUGCUCGAGCCUCCUCACGUCCUGUUCCAAUAUAAUAUUAAUUUCCCAACCAAAAAAUCCAAUAUUUAAUCAAAAUAGGCAAAAUUAUCCGAGAGCCAUAAAUACGCUCAUCAUUGCCUAACUUCGAUAUUCUUAAAUCGGAACAAUCCGAACUUAAAUAUCAUACUCAACAGUCGUAAAUACAACCUCCCCAAAAUACGACUUAAAUCCUAUGGCCGGAUUCUGCAUUAAUUAACCGCCAAAAAUACCAAACUUCGGAAAUUCACGAACCUAUCCAAAUCUCAUCCAAAAAUUCCCUAAAUCACAUCAAUAUACUCCUCUUAAUAUUCCACACUUAAAACCCUAAAAACUCCUAACCGGCGGCGGCGCCGCCGGCGGCUCCGCCGGCAGCGGCGGCCGGAGGCCAAUUCCGGCGACCUCCAAAACCUAUGAAAUUUUGACAGAAUAAUCCUCUCAUCAUGCUCUACAACUUUCCUAACUAGCACAAACACCAAUUCCAAGCCUAACUAGGGCAAUCGACUAAAAACAUCAAAAACACUAUAAAACUUCCACCUCAAAUUUCUCCUUACCUAGCUCAAGAGGGAGCGAGUCCUUU
rnacentral:lncRNA from 1 species